rnacentral:rRNA from 1 species
UACGGGGGGUGCGAGCGUUGUCCGGAAUCACUGGGCGUAAAGGGCGCGUAGGUGGUUUGAUAAGGGUGUGGUGAAAGCCCGGGGCUCAACCCCGGGUCUGCCGUGCCGACUGUCAAACUCGAGGGCUGUAGAGGCAGACGGAAUUCCGGGUGUAGCGGUGGAAUGCGUAGAGAUCCGGAGGAAGACCGGUGGCGAAGGCGGGUCUGCUGGCAGUUCUGGACACUGAUGCGCGACAGCGUGGGAG